AUACAAUGGAGAGUUUGAUCCUGGCUCAGGAUGAACGCUAGCGGGAGGCCUAACACAUGCAAGCCGAGCGGUAGAUUGCUUUCGGGCAAUUGAGAGCGGCGCACGGGUGCGGAACACGUGUGCAACCUGCCUUUAUCUGGGGGAUAGCCUUUCGAAAGGAAGAUUAAUACCCCAUAAUAUGUUGAAUGGCAUCAUUCGACAUUGAAAGCUCCGGCGGAUAGAGAUGGGCACGCGCAAGAUUAGAUAGUUGGUGAGGUAACGGCUCACCAAGUCAAUGAUCUUUAGGGGGCCUGAGAGGGUGAUCCCCCACACUGGUACUGAGACACGGACCAGACUCCUACGGGAGGCAGCAGUGAGGAAUAUUGGACAAUGGGUGAGAGCCUGAUCCAGCCAUCCCGCGUGAAGGACGACGGCCCUAUGGGUUGUAAACUUCUUUUGUACAGGGAUAAACCUUUCCACGUGUGGGAAGCUGAAGGUACUGUACGAAUAAGCACCGGCUAACUCCGUGCCAGCAGCCGCGGUAAUACGGAGGGUGCAAGCGUUAUCCGGAUUUAUUGGGUUUAAAGGGUCCGUAGGCGGAUCUGUAAGUCAGUGGUGAAAUCUCACAGCUUAACUGUGAAACUGCCAUUGAUACUGCAGGUCUUGAGUAAAUUUGAAGUGGCUGGAAUAAGUAGUGUAGCGGUGAAAUGCAUAGAUAUUACUUAGAACACCAAUUGCGAAGGCAGGUCACUAAGAUUUAACUGACGCUGAGGGACGAAAGCGUGGGGAGCGAACAGGAUUAGAUACCCUGGUAGUCCACGCCGUAAACGAUGCUAACUCGUUUUUGGGUUUUCGGAUUCAGAGACUAAGCGAAAGUGAUAAGUUAGCCACCUGGGGAGUACGUUCGCAAGAAUGAAACUCAAAGGAAUUGACGGGGGCCCGCACAAGCGGUGGAUUAUGUGGUUUAAUUCGAUGAUACGCGAGGAACCUUACCAAGACUUAAAUGGGAAUUGACAGAUUUAGAAAUAGAUCCUCCUUCGGGCAAUUUUCAAGGUGCUGCAUGGUUGUCGUCAGCUCGUGCCGUGAGGUGUUAGGUUAAGUCCUGCAACGAGCGCAACCCCUGUCACUAGUUGCUACCAUUCAGUUGAGGACUCUAGUGAGACUGCCUACGCAAGUAGAGAGGAAGGUGGGGAUGACGUCAAAUCAUCACGGCCCUUACGUCUUGGGCCACACACGUAAUACAAUGGCCGGUACAGAGGGCAGCUACACAGCGAUGUGAUGCAAAUCUCGAAAGCCGGUCUCAGUUCGGAUUGGAGUCUGCAACUCGACUCUAUGAAGCUGGAAUCGCUAGUAAUCGCGCAUCAGCCAUGGCGCGGUGAAUACGUUCCCGGGCCUUGUACACACCGCCCGUCAAGCCAUGGAAGUCUGGGGUACCUGAAGUCGGUGACCGUAAAAGGAGCUGCCUAGGGUAAAACAGGUAACUAGGGCUAAGUCGUAACAAGGUAGCCGUACCGGAAGGUGCGGCUGGAACAUCUCAUUUU
rnacentral:rRNA from 1 species